rnacentral:rRNA from 1 species
CCAGCAGCCGCGGUAAUUCCAGCUCUAAUAGCGUAUAUUAAAGUUGUUGCAGUUAAAAAGCUCGUAGUCGGAUGUCGGGCUCGGGCAGGCUGUCGGCUUCGGUCGGACGGCAGGCUCGGGUCUUUCUGCCUGAGGAUCCCGUCACUUUACUGUGGCGGGGGACGCAGGCCGUUUACUUUGAAAAAAUUAGAGUGUUCAAAGCAGGCCUACGCUUGAAUACAUUAGCAUGGAAUAAUGGAAUAGGACUUUGGUGCUAUUUUGUUGGUUUAUGGGACCGAAGUAAUGAUUAACAGGGACAGUUGGGGCCGUUUAUAUUUCGUUGUCAGAGGUGAAAUUCUUGGAUUUACGAAAGAUAAACUUCUGCGAAAGCAUUCGGCAAGGAUGUUUUCA